CUUUUUUUUCUCUCUCUCCGAUAAAUGGCUUCUUUUCAUCUACACCACACCAAUCCAGCCAUCAAUCCCAUCACCGAGCAGUCGUCGUCUUCCCCCAUGGCACUCGUUCUCCCUCCACCCCCUUGAAGGGUCUAUUUCCUUUCCUUCCUGCCUCUCUUCAGCUGAGGCCUGGUCAUUGGAGUACCGCGGUCCGUGAGUCGUUUCUUGCUGGUCAAAAGACAUUCAAGAAUCGCCUGGGGACUCCUGUUUCUUGAUGUGGAUGACAUGAGGACACUGAAUACAAUUGUGAUAAAGAUGGCAGGAUCUGCUCCCUGCUAAGUUUUUACCUACGAGUUGGCAAAGGACAAUAUGCCAUCUGGGGCUUCUAACCGUCGUCCAUACAAAAUUUCAGAAGAUUCUCAAAUGCCGUACUACAAUAAUUCAGCAACUGUAGAAGAAAAUGAUAGGUUACAUGUGAUGCAAAAUAAUCUAGAUCAUCACCACUCUUCUCCCGAUGAUGAAUCGCAGAAGAUUAAUAGUUCCAACACACAAAUAUUUGAAGCACAGUACUGCACUCUGGAAUCAUCCUCAGCAAAUGGUGUUUAUCCUGCACAAAGCUCCACAUCUUCUCACAGCAUUUCCCCUUUAAGUGGGAGCCCCCUGUCUCAGCAUGAUAGCCACUCAGACCACACAUAUAGUUCUCCCCCAAGUGCUUCCUGUCUAACUGAAGUUGCAGAUCUCCAAAUUAAACUAAAAGAGCUAGAGAAUGCCAUUCUUGGACCUGAAUUGGACAUUACUUCUGACAGACCUGAGAGCUUCUUACAAGCCAAUGUUCAAUUGAGACCAGACAACUGGAGACAACUUCUGGGAAUUGAUGCAGGAGACUUGAAGCAAGUAAUCAUUGCAUGUGGUAAGGCUGUUGCGGAGAAUGAUGUCUUUGCAACAGAUUUGCUUAUAUCUGAGCUAGGUCAGCUCGUAUCUGUAUCAGGAGAUCCAAUGCAACGACUUGGAGCAUAUAUGUUGGAAGGAAUUGUUGCAAGACUUUCUUCCUCUGGCAGUAUGCUAUAUAAAUCUUUGAAAUGUAAAGAACCUACAAGCUCUGAGCUCAUGUCAUACAUGCAUCUCCUUUAUGAGAUCUGCCCAUUCUUCAAGUUUGGUUAUUUGUCAGCGAAUGGUGCCAUUGCCGAGGCUAUUAAGGGGGAGAACUUUGUUCACGUCAUUGACUUCCAAAUUGCUCAGGGGAGCCAGUGGAUUACUCUGAUACAGGCCCUUGCUGCAAGGCCUGGGGGUCCACCAUACAUUAAAAUCACAGGUAUUGAUGACUCAAAUUCUGCUUAUGCCAGAGGGGGUGGGCUUGAUAUAGUUGGGAGGAGAUUGCAUAGUGUUGCUCAGUCGUGUGGUCUUCCCUUUGAGUUCAAUGCUGUUCCAGCUGCUAGCCAUGAGGUUCAGCUUGGGCAUCUUGCAUUAAGACCUGGGGAGAUUAUUGCUGUCAAUUUUGCCUAUCAGCUGCAUCAUGUUCCUGAUGAAAGCGUAAGCAUGGAAAAUCAUCGAGAUAGGAUUAUAAGAAUGAUCAAGAGCAUCAAUCCUAGGGUUGUUACUCUCGUUGAGCAGGAAUCAAAUACAAACACAGCUCCAUUCUUCCCAAGGUACAUGGAAACUCUCAACUACUAUACAGCCAUGUUUGAGUCGAUAGAUGUUGCUCUCCCAAGGGAUGACCGGAGGAGGAUGAGUGCGGAACAACACUGUGUUGCAAGGGAUAUUGUUAAUUUAAUCGCAUGCGAGGGUGCUGAAAGAGUUGAGAGGCAUGAACUGUUUGGAAAAUGGAAGGCAAGAUUUGCUAUGGCUGGAUUUAGGCCUUACCCGCUGAGUUCAGUAGUGAACAACACCAUCAACACACUGUUGCGGAGUUAUAACAGCUGCUACAGGCUUGAGGAAAGUGGUGGUGUCCUUUACCUUGGAUGGAAGAACAGAGUGUUAGUUGUAUCUUCAGCAUGGUGUUGACAUUUCCAUAUAAGAAGCUCAUGUUUCGUCAGAUUUGUGCGUCCAUCCCACGUUUCCAAGAUUCCGUCCUGAACUCUAUUCACCCAGGAGAUUCUGACUCACUAGCAGUCUAAUCCAGCAGUUAGCUUGUCAUCUAGAUGGUCACCGCAAGUUGAAGGUUUGGUAGACUCAGAAGUGCUACGCAGAAGAGGGUGUAUCAGUAUGCUCUCUCUCUCUCUGCCCCCCAGCCCGCGCUCCCUCCCUCCCUCCCCGCAUAAGUUAUGCUAGGCAGGAGGUGUAUGCCAUCACCAUAAGGUAAUUUGACGAACAGACAUCUAAACAGCAGUGAAGUAGACCAAACAUAAAAAAGAAGGUACAAUCCCUCACUAAGAUUUCACCUCAUUCAAGCACAAAUGAAUAACAAAUUGAAAUAGAUUACAUGUCUUUCUGUCCUAAGGUAUUUUUGAAGCUUUUAUUCAUGCGAAUUGAUCCAAAACUCAUGCAAGCACUUCUACAAUCUUGGAAGAAUGCUUUGGGUCAUCUAAAACAUCCAUAGGAGCUAUCAAAAGGAGUUAAUUAAGUUUAAGGCCCCUUGGUCAUCCAGGAGCACCUCCAGAGAGACGACAAAUCAAGUGCUAGCCUGUGGAGAAGUUCAGAUACAGAAGCAAGUGUAAGCACCACCUCAUCAUCUAACAAGCUUGUAGCUUCAGUUUUUGCUUCAUCUCUCACUCGCAACUAUAUUUCUGAGUCAUUUUUGGACAUGAUAGAGUAACUUGAGGUUUACUUUGCCAUCCAUGAAACUGAUAAAAAUAAAAUUUGCUAUCAGAAAACAUACACGGAAGCAUCAGUAGAAAGUACAAGCAUCAAAGUUCAUAAACUUUACAGAGAUCAUCUGAAUCUUUCUAAUCAUCAUCUGGAGAAAGCAACUUCUGCAGGGGUUGCAAUAAUAAUUUUUCAGAAAAGAUGAGGAUCAUAAUUGGAAUCUUUCAUUGUAACAAAGAUAGGCAAGGUAGCAAUGAUCUGCAUGAAUUACCUUCAAAUUUUUCAUAGCAAGUUUCAAGGUCAUCGUCAUUUACCAAAAGAUGAUCAAAGGGACCUGGGAAUUGGACUGAUCCCAAGAAUUUUUAAGUCGUUUUUGGAUCUGCUCCUUUGGGUACCCCUGUAUAACCAAUUAGGUGGAGAAUAAAUCAACUGUGUCAUAUAGUUACAUGUUUAAGAAUUAAAUAAUCCAUCACAUGAGCCUAGCCAAAUACUACAUUUCCUAAACUACAAAUAUACCUGCACUUGAAGCUUCAACUGAUUCAGAUACUAUCCAAUACAAAGGGGACUGAAUAGCCCUUCUUGAUAUUCUCAUUUUUCGUAGACACCAGUUUCAGGCUCCGGAGAACCUCCAUAUUCGCAUUCAUUGCUCUGUCCACCGAUUUGCGCCUUGCUCGCCUAGGCGCCUGCCUUGCUCGCCUAGGCGUCCAGCCGCCCCACCUUGCUAGGCGUCCGCCUUACCGCCUUGAGAACAGAGAUUCAUUGAUCUUGCUCCUACCACCUAGGCACAAAAAUCUAGAGGAUAUAGCAAGGGAAACAACACUCCACCACCUUAUAUCUGAGAGGUUGUGCAUCUCGGUGAUACGGCUUUGCUUAUUGAUGGAACCUCUGCACAGUGGAAAUUGAGACACCUUAUUUUUAUUUAUAACUAUAUGUAGGGCAGAACUGUAUAUAAAUCAUGGUUUUAAAUAGUGGGCUAUAGCCUCGCUAUAGCCCCGCUAUAGCCUUUUUAGAGGGUUCCCGCUACGCUAUUUGUAUUUGUACCGCUAUGACAGCUAUGGACGCUAAAUUGGACUCUAGCUGCGCUAAAUAGCAUAGCUUUAGCUCCGCUAUAGUCUUUAUCCUUAGCUUAGUACUACUGUUUUGGUCUUUUGGACAAAUAAAUAUUUGAUUGUAUGAUUGUUAUUGCAUUAUCAACUUAAGUAAUGUUCUCAUAGCUCUAGAAACAUAUUUAUGUUUAUGAAAUUCGCUAAUUACUAUGUUUUUGUGCAUCUAUUACUUGUAUUUUUCAUGGUUUAGUAGUAAACCGCUAUUUGUCAUAGCCCGCUAUAGCCUCUUAGCCUC